CGUCCCAGUUCAGAUCGCAGUCUGCAACCCGACUGCGUGAAGUCGGAAUCGCUAGUAAUCGCGGAUCAGCAUGCCGCGGUGAAUACGUUCCCGGGCCUUGUACACACCGCCCGUCACACCAUGAGAGUCGGGAACACCCGAAGUCCGUAGCCUAACCGCAAGGGGGGCGCGGCCGAAGGUGGGUUCGAUAAUUGGGGUGAAGUCGUAACAAGGUAGC
rnacentral:rRNA from 1 species